AGAAACCACAGCAGUGUCAGCAGGGGGAAGAAUGCCUGACGUCCCCAAGGUACAGCUCCUGUUGAAAAGGCACUCGGAAGGGGGAAAUCAGAGGCUUACCAGAGCAAAGCAGGCUGCCUCUCCCUGCUGGUGGGAGAUGUACAGACCUCGAUUCCAAACCACCGAACUAGCUGUGGCAGCAGGAGGCCCUAAGUGGGGUUUGACCCCCUUGUGCUGGCGUGCUUCUGGAGAGAAAAGGACCUUGAGGGAAAUGGAGAGUCUGCAGCCUAGGGACAUUUGAAAGCAUGGCCAAAGGCAAAUUACAGAAAUUCAGUGUCAUGACCAAAGCCACAUAGAUGAUGAGCUGUGGAGAAGCUGAAUGCCCUGAGGACACCUGAUGGGAGAAGAGAGUCUGUUAACCUGUGGAUGGGUGAUUUUGGUUUUUGCUCGGCUGUCGCUGCUACUGGAUGAAAAAGAAUGCCACUAAAAGAAAACAACUGCAGACUUGAGCUUUGAAAUUUAAUUGUAACAACAUGGCAAGCUAUGUGUGAAGGAGAAGUUAAGAGAAAUGGCUUAAAACAUUGAAGAUUUUGGAGUUCUUGUUGUUUUUGUAAAGGUGUGAUGUGAGCAACCACUUGAAAAUUUAUCAGUGUGAAAUGGUCAAUAAGAAAUAACUCUUUUUGAGGAGUUAUAACUACUUACUAGUGUUAAAAAUCUGGGGCCAAUUAACUUUGUGUGAAACUUUAGUUCUGAAACUCCAAAGCAUGUGAAACUUGCUGGGUUGUGUUUGCUGCUGAGAAGAUUUGGCUGUGUGACAGCACCCAAACACACAUCCCUGCCUGCCAUCCUCUGAGCAUGACCGUAGUACAGCAGUACUUGCCAAGUGGCUCCAUGUGCUGAUAUGAUGGCAAGUGGGUUAUCCAAACCACAGCUGAUGGAUGUGUGCUGUGGUGGCAGGACGGGGCUCUUCCAAAGCAUGGUGUCCCGAAGCUCUGUGCCACCUGGGCACAACUUGGUGCCCAGGAGCUUGGGUAGAUGCUAGCUGCUGUCUCUGCCAGAAGGUGAUCCAUGCAUUUCUGCCUCUCCAUGAGGGCUUUCAGCUUUCCUGGAGGGGGAGGGAUGGUGAAGCAGAAGGCAGGUCCCCCACAGCUGCGCGUACCAUGGUCUGGAAGCUGAUGCUGGCAGGUGUAGGCUUACAUGCUACCCCUGAUAGCUCCAUCACCUUGGUGGCAGCAAGAAAGGGAGGGGGCCUGUGACUGUAGCACCUCAACCCACUGUAGGAAGAUGUACCAAGGGACAGGUGCCAGCGCUGGAGGAGGGCUAGGGUGGUCCUGGUAGAUGAAUGAGUGGCUUUUACAUGGCCAGCCUUGCUUCUUCUGACAGGGAGACCAGGUAGUGUGGGUUUCCCUAGCCACAUAGCUUGUACUCCCACCACCAGAGCCUGAAAUGGCACAGCCCUGUGACACUGGCAUGGCUGGGGUCUUGCCUUCCCCCACCAGCCUCUGAAACCUUGGCAGCACCUGGGGAGGCUGGAGGGACCCAGAAGUUUAGCCAUUUUUCAAAAAAGCUGGGAAUUGCUUCAGGAGGCUACAGCAUGAACACCACGUCAGGCAUUCGUAAUUCCAGGUGUCUGCUCUCAGCAGGUUGAAUUAUCCAUUGGGCUGCCAUGGCUUCCCCCUGCUUCUUGGUCUUCAAAAUAGACCAUCUUGGUCUAUUGCUGAUGUGGGAAGAGUUGGAGAUGUGAUUACCUCUCCUCUCUAGGCAAAUCAGCAAGGAAAAGAAAGUAAGGAAUCAGGUCCCAUCCAGCAGAUUUAUGCUUAGGAUAUGUGAAAGUGACUCAUGAGAUGUUCCUCUGAUGCUGGGGAGCAGACUGAUAUGUAGCAGGGCAGGGUGACACCCCCGCUCUGCCUCUUAUGCCCAGACGUGCAAAAUUGUGUUCCCAGUGAAAUUGGAAGGAAUUUAAGUGCAUAAUUGGGCAUCAGGCUUUUGCUCUUCCUCCUGUGCAGCUCCAUAUUUAUAUAAAGUGGGGAUAAUAUUUCCCUGUGUAAUAAAGGGUUUACAAGAUCAAAGUCCAUUUGAUGUGAGGGGUUCUCAAAUACCCUGUUGUUAAAUAUUAAUGAUUGUAGAAGUAUUUAUGUGGAGGGCUGCUUUUGAGGGUGAAAAUUGAGGCUUGAGAUGUUCCUCUCUCUAGUCAGUUUUUCAUGAUUGUUUCAGUAUUUCACUCAUCUUGAAAGAAUAAACCUAGAAAAUAUGACAGUAAAACUACAGGCACUUUAAAUAAAACAAAAUAAAAUAAAAAUAUGAAAGCCCAGGCAGGUGUAGCCCCUUACAAACACCCUUAAACUUUUUAUUUUCUUAAUUCCUUGAAAUAAACCCACACGAUUGCAUAAGCAAUAAACAAAGCAUAAGUCUGUGUCCAGCAAUUGUCA